rnacentral:rRNA from 1 species
CCCUAUGGGGUGCAGCAGGCUGGUGCGGUGAAAGGGCCGCAGAUCGUUGGCGCGUCCGCCCAGGGCCCCGUCCAGCAUCAGCGAGCUCAUCGCCAGCGGCUGGUAGUACCCCGCCACCGUCGAUGGCUUCAUAACCUCGCCGAAGAACACGCCCAGCGAGUUCCAGCUCGGGUUCUGGACCAGGCGGUUCUCCAGGAUGUACUGUCCGUCGUCGAAGUUUGUGGCCUGCGCGCCCAGCGCCGGCCAGUGGACGACGAUGACGGCGAUGCCAACGACGGCACACAGGAUGGCCAGCAAUGUUACCGACCGCUGCGCCGUGCCCAGCGCGCCGGAACCAGCGGCCGCAAUGAUCCUGUCCGGAGAGC